UACGUAGGGGGCGAGCGUUGUCCGGAAUUAUUGGGCGUAAAGGGCUCGUAGGCGGUUUGUCGCGUCGGGAGUGAAAACCCAGGGCUUAACCCUGGGCUGGCUUCCGAUACGGGCAGACUAGAGGUAUGCAGGGGAGAACGGAAUUCCUGGUGUAGCGGUGAAAUGCGCAGAUAUCAGGAGGAACACCGGUGGCGAAGGCGGUUCUCUGGGCAUUACCUGACGCUGAGGAGCGAAAGUGUGGGGAGCGAACAGG
rnacentral:rRNA from 1 species